rnacentral:rRNA from 1 species
CCAUACUUAGUGGCAGACGGGUGAGUAACAUGUAGGAUCUACCCUAUUGAGCUGGAAUAACACGAGGAAACUUGUGCUAAUACCGGAUAAGUCUUUACGGAGAAAGCUAUAUAUGCACCAUAUGGAUAGAGCCUGCACUUGCAUUAGUAUUCGUCGUGUACGGGUAAUGUGGCUAUCCCAGACUUUGAUCCAUAGCUUGAAUUUGAGAGGAUGAUCAGCCACCUUGGGACUGAGACACGGUCCAAACUCCUACGGGAGGCAGCAGUGGGGAAUCUUGCGCAAUGGAGUGAAACUCUGAGUGCAGCGAUACCGCGUGUAGAUGAAGAAGGGCUUUGGGUUGUAAAGCUCUUUCGUCGGGGAAGAAAAUGAGUGUACCCGCAAUAUGAAGGUGCGGGUAAAUUCGGGGCAGGCGGCGCGGUUAUACGAAGGGACCUAGCGUAUUUCGGAAUUACUCGUGGCUUCAAGAAGUCCGGAAGGUGGUUGAACCGGUUGGUGGUGAAAUCCCAGAGCUUAACUCUGGAACUGGGCAAUCAGAACUUUUUCCACUAGAGGUUUGAUAAGAGGGAACGGCAGAAUUUCUAAUUGGUGAAUGUGACAUUUCGCACGCUCUUUAGACCGCACAUACCACAUUGCGCCAGUGCGAGCUUACUUGGCAUCCUUUACUUGACACGUGAGAGGAACGAGAAGCAUGUGGUAUGCGAACGAAGGAUAUAGAUAUCCCUCGGUAAGUCCAAUGCCCG